rnacentral:rRNA from 1 species
CCUACGGGUGGCAGCAGUAGGGAAUCUUUCACAAUGGGCGAAAGCCUGAUGGAGCAACGCCGCGUGCAGGAUGAAGGCCUUCGGGUUGUAAACUGCUUUUAUAAGCGAGCAAUAUGAUGCUCACUUAUGACUAAGGAUCGGCUAUCUACGUGCCAGCAGCCUCAGUCCUACGUAGGAUCCGAGCAUUAUCCGGAGUGACUGGGUGUAAAGAGUUGCGUAGGUGGAAAAAUAAGUCUCUAGUGAAAUCUGGUGGCUCAACGAUUCAGACUAUUAGCUAAACUGUUAAGCUCGAAACCGUUAGGGGUAACUGGAAUUUCUAGUGUAGGAGUGAAAUCCGUAGAUAUUAGAAGGAACACCAAUAGCGUAGGCAGGUUGCGGGGACGGUUCUGACACGAAGGCACGAAAGCGUAGGGAGCAAACGGGAUUAGAUACCCCAGUAGUC